UGGUCAAGUUAUUAAGGGUGCAGGGCGGAUGCCUUGGCACUAGGAGCCGAUGAAGGACGUGAUAAGCUGCGAUAAGCUUCGGGGAGUUGCACGUAAACUUUGAUCCGAAGAUUUCCGAAUGAGGAAACUCACUUAGAGUAAUGUCUAAGUAUCAUUAAGUGAAUACAUAGCUUAAUGAGGGGAACUCAGGGAACUGAAACAUCUAAGUACCUGAAGGAAGAGAAAGAAAUUCGAUUCCGUAAGUAGCGGCGAGCGAACGCGGAUUAGCCCAAACCAAUAAAGUUUUCUUUAUUGGGGUUGCGGACAUAUCAUAACGAAGAGGUAUCGUAAUUGAAGAGGUUUGGAAAGACCCACCACAGAAGGUAAUAGUCCUGUAUGUUAAACGAAAAGACUUUAGAUAUGAUCCAGAGUACCACGGGACACGUGAAACCCUGUGGGAAGCAGGAGGGACCACCCUCCAAGGCUAAAUACUACCUAGUGACCGAUAGCGUAUAGUACCGUGAGGGAAAGGUGAAAAGAACCCCGGGAGGGGAGUGAAAUAGAACCUGAAACCCUGCACUUACAAGCUGUGGAAGCACAUUUCUUGUGUGACCGCGUACUUUUUGUAGAACGGGCCAACGAGUUACGUUAAGUAGCAAGGUUAAGCACUUAAGGUGCGGAGCCGUAGCGAAAGCGAGUUUUAACUGAGCGUUCAGUUACUUGACGUAGACCCGAAACCGGGCGACCUACCCAUGAGCAGGAUGAAGCGAAAGUAAAAUUUCGUGGAGGUCCGAACCCACGAGCGUUGAAAAGCUCGGGGAUGACUUGUGGGUAGCGGUGAAAUUCCAAUCGAGCCCGGAGAUAGCUGGUUCUCCCCGAAAUAGCUUUAGGGCUAGCCUCAAGGUGAGAGAUACGGAGGUAGAGCACUGAAUGUCCUAGGGGGUAUUGCACCUACCGAAGACUAUCAAACUCCGAAUGCCGUCAUCUUAUACUUGGGAGUCAGACUGUGGGUGAUAAGAUUCAUAGUCGAAAGGGCAACAGCCCAGAUCGUCAGCUAAGGUCCCUAAAUGUAAGUUAAGUGGUAAAGGAUGUGGGAUUGCACAGACAACCAGGAUGUUGGCUUAGAAGCAGCCACUCAUUCAAAGAGUGCGUAAUAGCUCACUGGUCGAGUGAUCCUGCGCCGAAGAUUUCCGGGGCUAAAACUUACUACCGAAGCUACGGCAUCAGUAAUGAUGGGUAGGGGAGCUUCCCAUACGGGUUGAAGCAUGACCGUAAGGACAUGUGGACAGUAUGGGAGUGAGAAUGUUGGCAUGAGUAGCGAGAUGUGGGUGAGAAUCCCACAGGCCGUAAACCCAAGGUUUCCAGGGGAAGGUUCGUCCGCCCUGGGUUAGUCGGGACCUAAGCUGAGGCCGAAAGGCGUAGGUGAUGGACAACAGGUUGAUAUUCCUGUACUACCGAUAACCGUUUGAGAGAAGGGAUGACACAGUAGGAUAAGCUAAGCACACUGUUGGUUAUGUGUGCCCAAGCAUUGAGGCAGUCAAAGUAGGCAAAUCCGCUUUGAUAAUGCUGGGAUGUGAUGGGGAGCGAAAUUUAGUAGCGAAGUAGCUGAUUUCACACUGUCAAGAAAAGUCUCUAUCGAGGUUAAAGGUACCCGUACCGCAAACCGACACAGGUGGGUGAGGAGAGUAUCCUAAGGCCAGCGAGAGAACUGUUGUUAAGGAACUCGGCAAAAUGACCCCGUAACUUAGGGAUAAGGGGUGCCACCAUCAGGUGGCCGCAGAGAAUAGGCCCAAGCGACUGUUUACCAAAAACAUAGGUUUCUGCUAAGUCGCAAGACGAUGUAUAGGAGCUGACGCCUGCCCGGUGCUGGAAGGUUAAGGGGAUCUGUUAGAGCAAUCGAAGCAGUGAACUUAAGCCCCAGUAAACGGCGGCCGUAACUAUAACGGUCCUAAGGUAGCGAAAUUCCUUGUCGGGUAAGUUCCGACCCGCACGAAAGGCGUAACGAUUUGGGCACUGUCUCAACAACAGACUCGGUGAAAUUGUAAUUCCGGUGAAGAUGCCGGAUACCUGCGACAGGACGGAAAGACCCCAUGGAGCUUUACUGUAGCUUGACAUUGGGUCUUGGUACUACAUGUACAGGAUAGGUGGGAGGCUUUGAAACCAGGACGCCAGUUUUGGCGGAGCCAUCCUUGGGAUACCACCCUUGUAGUACUGGGACUCUAACCAUAGGCCAUGAAUCUGGUCUUGGGACACUGUCAGGUGGGCAGUUUGACUGGGGCGGUCGCCUCCCAAAAGGUAACGGAGGCGCUCAAAGGUUCUCUCAGUACGGUCGGAAAUCGUACGUAGAGUGUAAAGGCAAAAGAGAGCUUGAUUGCAAGACAUACAGGUCGAGCAAGGAUGAAAAUCGGACUUAGUGAUCCGGUGGUUCUGCGUGGAAGGGCCAUCGCUCAACGGAUAAAAGCUACCCUGGGGAUAACAGGCUUAUCUCCCCCAAGAGUCCACAUCGACGGGGAGGUUUGGCACCUCGAUGUCGGCUCAUCACAUCCUGGGGCUGUAGUAGGUCCCAAGGGUUGGGCUGUUCGCCCAUUAAAGUGGUACGCGAGCUGGGUUCAGAACGUCGUGAGACAGUUCGGUCCCUAUCCGUCGCAGGCGUAGGAAAUUUGAGAAGACCUGUCCUUAGUACGAGAGGACCGGGAUGGACGUACCUCUGGUGUACCAGUUGUCCUGCCAAGGGCAUGGCUGGGUAGCUAUGUACGGAAUGGAUAAGCGCUGAAAGCAUCUAAGCGCGAAGCCAACUUCAAGAUAAGAUUUCCCACCGCAAGGGUAAGACCCCAGAAAGACUAUCUGGUUGAUAGGUCGAAGGUGUAAGUGCAGCAAUGUAUUUAGCUUAUCGAUACUAAUAGGUCGAGGACUUGACCAAUAUUUAUU
rnacentral:rRNA from 1 species